rnacentral:ncRNA from 2 species
UUCAGCAAUCAUCGGGUCGUCUGAAUACAACGGGUCAGCGUUCGGGAACACGGUGUGAUUCCGUGGCGGUCCCGCCGCUGUAACCGGCGACUGGCAGGCACCGGGGAAACCCCGCCACUGUUCGCGAGCCCCUGCGGGGGCAUCGCAAAUGGGAAGGCGCGCCUGCCGGGAUGACCCGGAAGCCAGAAGACCGGCUGACCCGAAAGGAACAGU